ensembl:lncRNA
AAAACAUUCAAGUCUUGAGAUCAUAAAGACAUCAGAUUGCACUGUAAAAUGGAAAGGAAUUACAUGGGUGUAUCUCCUCCCAUUUGUACUUUUGAAACUCUCUUCCAUGGUAAAGCGUUCCCAUCAUGUGUAGUCAUUCUUUCUGUUCGACACCACGUCUGCCUCUCAAACUGUGCUCUUCGGGCAGACUCUGUGUUACAAGAGCGAUGCUGCUGUUAUGGAUGACAUUCUCUCUCACAUGGCACAAUCGGCUUUAUGAUCCACAGCAUGAAGGAAGGUCUGUGUCUGGAGGACUCAUCUGAAGGAGUUGUUGAGUUAAGGACAUGCAGUCUGGACUCGGUCCUGCAGCAGUGGAAGUGGACAGAUCACUGGUUCCUAGUAAACACAGGCACCCUGAGGUGUCUUUCUGCCAUCCACACUGACCCAGUCCAGACUAUCGCUUGUGAUUCUGGUGAACAUAUCAAAUGGCAGUGCAAAGCUCAACAGCUCAUCAGUCAGCAAAACUCUCUGGCAUUGAGCACUGAGAGAGGAAAACUCAGACUGAACAAGGGUGAACAUGACACCUGGAAGUCUCUGGAUGCGGGUGACAUCUGCCAGAAUAAACGGAGAUCCAGAAGAGAAAGUGAUUUAGAGACCGAUGAGUUUGACUUUCCUGAAGGGCCGCCUAAACAAAGAAUGACAGAGGCACAGAUGAAGUUUUUACAGUGGUAUUACCGUACAGAGGACUCAACAUCGUGGAAGUUUGGCAUGCUGGCAUUUGCUUUUCUGGGUCUUCUGAUUGGGGCGAUGCUUCUGGUCAUGGGCAUGAUGGCUAAUAGGAACAGGAAGCAAAUAGCCAAAUACAAAGCAGCCUCAAAAGUCACAGCAGUGGAAUCUGAAAUGGAGGAACUGCAGGCCAUCGUCACUGAUAAUGUCACAGAGGUCAAGGAGGAGAAAACCCAUUUCACCCCAUCUGAACCAAUUACUACACAUAACAGCCACAGGGAAUGGGAUUGGGGAGAGCCUUCAUACGAUAGCAAAGCCUCAGAGAGACUGAAGCCCGGAGAAAUUGUGGUGACCUGGAAGGACGGGAAUGUGUCUACUCUGUAUCCUGAACCUGCAGAGGAAGAGGACAUCCACAACACAGAUGCAGAGUCUAUGUCCCACAACUCCCCCCAAGGAAUAGCUUCAUCUGAGACGACUGCAUUUUAAUUUAGUCCUACUGUUUGUGUUAAUUUUAACACUAUAUUCAAGAUGGCAUCGGA